GAUGUUCAAGUGAUACAUUUCCUGUGCAGUCAGUCAACAUUUCCAGGUACCAUCUCUGCCAAUCACGUUCUCCAUAUCUAAGGUACCAAACACAGCUGGCGACAGCUCGAGAGAGAUCUCCGUCUGACAAACUGCUAUGGCUUUCCUCUCCUGUGUCCUGCUCCCAGAGAUCAACCACGUGCUAUUAACCAAGCAUGGGCUCAGCUGAUUCACUCACCUGUGAGGAGAACCAUCCUACUGCUGUUUUAACUAGCCCUGCCGUCACUAUUAGACAUUGAGACCACA